rnacentral:rRNA from 1 species
AGAGUGAACGCUGGCGGCAGGCCUAACACAUGCAAGUCGAGCGGCAGCGCAGCGGUAGCAAUACUGUGGGCGGCGAGCGGCGGACGGGUGAGGAACACAUCGGAAUCUACCCUGUCGUGGGGGACAACGUAGGGAAACUUACGCUAAUACCGCAUACGACCUUUGGGUGAAAGCGGGGGACUCGCAAGAGCCUCGCGCGAUUGGAUGAGCCGAUGUCCGAUUAGCUAGUUGGCGGGGUAAUGGCCCACCAAGGCUCCGAUCCUUAGCUGUUCUGAGAGGAAGAUCAGCCACACUGGGACUGAGACACGGCCCAGACUCCUACGGGAGGCAGCAGUUGGGAAUCUUGGACAAUGGGGGAAACCCUGAUCCAGCCAUGCCGCGUGAGUGAUGAAGGCCUUCGGGUUGUAAACUCUUUCGACGGGACGAUAAUGACGGUACCGUAGAGAAGCUCCGGCUAACUUCGUGCCAGCAGCCGC